rnacentral:lncRNA from 1 species
GCGCGCCACCAGCCCCUUACCUGUCACUUGGUGCCGCCACGGGUGACCUAUCCACCCACUAGUGGGCUGCCACGUCGCCCCUGGCGCCAUCCCAUCCCUGCAGCCCGCUGAGCCCACGGAGAGCCCGCACAGGCCCGGAUCCCGCUGCCACUCACAGCCCCCUCGUACUCGUUCCAAUCUCAAUCGAGGGAAGAAUACUUCCGAGACCGAGCCGCUGUCGCGACCCCGCGUCUGUCUGCCGCCUCGCGACCAUCACCGGAGCUCCGGCGAGCCGCUGCCGCCCUUCAGCCUCCGCCGCCCAGGUCAGCCCCGCCGGACUGCCUCCUCUUCCUCUCCUCCCGUUUGUUCUUCCUCUCCCAUCUCUCUCGCUCAUCUCUAUCCCUCCGCUCAUUCUGCACGUACCCCGUGGCCGGCCGUUGGCGUCAAGAUCGGAGCCGCCACCGUGAAUAGAUCUGUUGCCCUCGGCUCUGUCGAAUCCGUCACUUCCCGGCCGCUCCGGCCACUGACCCGUUCAUAGCUGGUGAGAAGAGGAACGCCAUGGUAGGCAGGGUACUGUUCUGCUUUAGAUUCGUUCUUUCUCAUAUGUGUUUAAGCCAUGCCAGUGUGUUGCUUUCGCAAAUCCGCGCUAGCCCAGCUGGUAGUCAACGCGUGCACAGAACCAAAGGGUGUCGGGUUUGAAUCCGACGCGCCCCAGUUUUCUUUUGUUUUAUGUUCGGUUGUUGAUUCAGAGAAAGUUUUGUUCGGUCCGUGACACGUGCUAGUCCAUCUAGACAAAAAAUUAUUGUUGACCACACUUCUCUCGUAGCCCAACUGGUGAGCUCAAUUGAUUGUAAUCAGGAGGUCAUACGAUCACAUCCUAUGUGGCCCAUCUUAUUCUUUUUGUCCUUGUUUUUUUUUAAAUGCUGUCACACGCGCUUGGAC